GUGUCAGCAGCCGCGGUAAUACGUAGGGACCAAGCGUUGUUCGGAUUUACUGGGCGUAAAGGGCGCGUAGGCGGUGCUGUAAGUCACUUGUGAAAUCUCUGAGCUUAACUCAGAACGGCCAAGUGAUACUGCAGCACUAGAGUGCGGAAGGGGCAAUCGGAAUUCUUGGUGUAGCGGUGAAAUGCGUAGAUAUCAAGAGGAACACCUGAGGUGAAGACGGGUUGCUGGGCCGACACUGACGCUGAGGCGCGAAAGCCAGGGGAGCAAACGGGAUUAGAAACCCGCGUAGUCC
rnacentral:rRNA from 1 species